rnacentral:lncRNA from 1 species
GGAGAAGUUUGGGCAAGUUGGUGUAAAAGUGAAUAGUGAAUCACUAGUCACUAUUCAGGUUGACUAUUCACUAUUUGGGUCACUAUUCAGGAUGUGAAGAGUGUGCAUAGUAUAUGGAUAAGGCACCAAGGUUUGAAUCUAGUCAAAGGGAAUCAAGAAGAUGCUGUGUGGAGCUGAUUGGUUACUUUGGGGCAUGGACAGGCUGGCUGUUGCUGUAAAGAGGAAGGCAGCCACGACCAUGCACCUAGACUGAUCUAUGGACAGAUACAAAGGAGCCUAAGAAGAACCAAUCAAAGCACAGCCUUGUUUGAAUUAAAGUGAGCCAACUUAGCUCAUCCAAUCAGCACACAUCACUCAGAUUACAACAAGACCAACUCAUCCUCACCAUCCAUUCCUCUUAAGUUAUUUCUAUCCAUUAGAUAUAGGUUUAUGAGUUUGCAAGAGUGUAAAACCUAUAUAAAGACCCUUAUGGGCGUGUCUAGCUCUCUUAAGAGAGUAUGGGGGUUUUCCCCAUCUCCUUCACAAAUAUAAAAGUGUGUUCUUGAUCAGAUUCCCUUAAUCUAGCCCUUUCUUAGUCUCUAAUCUCUUAAUCUCUCUAAGUCUCUUUGUUUCUGAUUCAAGUUCAUACUAGUUUCAUCAGACCUCUUAUUCAACUAGUUCAAGACCUUAUUCUUUGCCUUUAAUGGCUUCUCAUACACAUACACAGCCAGAGCUCUCAAAUCUCAUAUGGUAUCAGAGCCAGGUUCAUCAGAACCUGAGCUGUAGCUUCCGCAUUCAAGUCACAAGUCUGUCUCACCAUGAAGCCAAACCAUGAAGAUCUGUCCAGCCAGCUCUCUCUCUCUUCAAGAAGAAGAUGUCUGGAGCUAUUAUGGAGGUUUAUCAUGGCGGUUCCUUCCUGUUCCAGUCUAUACAAGGCGUGCCUUUCCUUCUGUCCAAGAGGAGAUACUUCAAGAAGAGUGAUUUCCCUUGUUACUGAAGCUGGCGAGUUAAAGAGAUGGUGAAAGGAGGAACCUUUGGAGGUGAAAGUUCAAGUAGCAGUCAUGAACACCAGGAGGGGCUGUUGGGUGACGAUUCAACAUCUCCAGUCCAUCAAAAGAGC